rnacentral:rRNA from 1 species
UACGGGGGGUGCAAGCGUUAUCCGGAUUCACUGGGUUUAAAGGGUGCGUAGGUGGGCAGGCAAGUCAGUGGUGAAAUCUCCGGGCUUAACCCGGAAACUGCCGUUGAUACUAUUUGUCUUGAAUAUUGUGGAGGUAAGCGGAAUAUGUCAUGUAGCGGUGAAAUGCUUAGAUAUGACAUAGAACACCAAUUGCGAAGGCAGCUUACUACACAAUGAUUGACGCUGAGGCACGAAAGCGUGGGGAUCAAACAGG